CGGCAUGGUUCUAUUUUGUUGGUUUCUAGGAUCACCGUAAUGAUUAAUAGGGAUAGUUGGGGGCAUUAGUAUUCAAUUGUCAGAGGUGAAAUUCUUGGAUUUAUUGAAGACUAACUUCUGCGAAAGCAUUUGCCAAGGAUGUUUUCAUUAAUCAAGAACGAAAGUUAGGGGAUCGAAGACGAUCAGAUACCGUCGUAGUCUUAACCAUAAACUAUGCCGACUAGGGAUCGGACGAUGUUAAUUUUUUAAUGACUCGUUCGGCGCCUUACGGGAAACCAAAGUGUUUGGGUUCCGGGGGGAGUAUGGUCGCAAGGCUGAAACUUAAAGGAAUUGACGGAAGGGCACCACCAGGGGUGGAGCCUGCGGCUUAAUUUGACUCAACACGGGGAAACUCACCAGGUCCAGA
rnacentral:rRNA from 1 species